rnacentral:rRNA from 1 species
CCUACGGGGUGCAGCAGUGGGGAAUAUUGCACAAUGGGGGAAACCCUGAUGCAGCGACGCCGCGUGAGCGAGGAAGUAUUUCGGUUUGUAAAGCUCUAUCAUCAGAGACGAAAAAUGACGGUACCUGACUAUGAAGCCUCGGCUAACUACGUGCCAGAAGCCGCGGUAAUACGUAGGGGGCAAGCGUUAUCCGGAUUUACUGGGUGUAAAGGGAGCGUAGACGGCAAGGCAAGACAGAGGUGAAAGGGCAGGGCUCAACCGUGUAAAUGCUUUUGGGACUGGGGUGCUAGAGUGCAGGAGAGGGAAGUGGAAUUCCUAGUGUAGCGGUGAAAUGCGUAGAUAUUAGGAGGAACACCAGUGGCGAAGGCGGCUUACUGGACUGUAACUGACGUUGAGGCUCGAAAGCGUGGGGAGCAAACAGGAUUAGAUACCCCAGUAGUC